rnacentral:tRNA from 1 species
GGUUCGGUAGCUUAUAUGGUAAAGCAUUCGUCUAGCAUACAAAAGUCGUGGGUUCAAACCCCACUUGAGCAC